rnacentral:rRNA from 1 species
AGUGGGGAAUAUUGCACAAUGGGCGCAAGCCUGAUGCAGCGACGCCGCGUGAGGGAUGACGGCCUUCGGGUUGUAAACCUCUGUUAGCAGGGAAGAAGAGAAAUUGACGGUACCUGCAGAGAAAGCGCCGGCUAACUACGUGCCAGCAGCCGCGGUAAUACGUAGGGCGCGAGCGUUGUCCGGAAUUAUUGGGCGUAAAGAGCUUGUAGGCGGUUUGUCGCGUCUGCUGUGAAAGGCCGGGGCUUAACCCCGUGUAUUGCAGUGGGUACGGGCAGACUAGAGUGCAGUAGGGGAGACUGGAACUCCUGGUGUAGCGGUGGAAUGCGCAGAUAUCAGGAAGAACACCGAUGGCGAAGGCAGGUCUCUGGGCUGUAACUGACGCUGAGAAGCGAAAGCAUGGGGAGCGAA